rnacentral:rRNA from 1 species
UACGUAGGGGGCAAGCGUUAUCCGGAUUUACUGGGUGUAAAGGGGGCGCAGACGGCAAUGCAAGCCAGGAGUGAAAGCCCGGGGCCCAACCCCGGGACUGCUCUUGGAACUGCAUGGCUGGAGUACAGGAGGGGCAGGCGGAAUUCCUAGUGUAGCGGUGAAAUGCGUAGAUAUUAGGAGGAACACCGGUGGCGAAGGCGGCCUGCUGGACUGUGACUGACGUUGAGGCCCAAAGGCGUGGGGAGCAAACAGG